rnacentral:rRNA from 1 species
AAUUGGUCAUCGCGCUUGGUUGAAAGCCAGUGGCGCGAAGCUACCGUGCGUCGGAUUAUGACUGAACGCCUCUAAGUCAGAAUCCUAGCUAGCAGCGGCGCCUCGUCCCGCCGUCCAACUCCCGACCCGCAGUAGGAGCCUCAGCGCUCCCAAGGGCCCGUGUCGUGGGCGUCGUCGGCCCGGCGGAUGCGCCGGCCCGGCCGCCCUGAAGCGUAAUUUCGGUCGGACGGCGGGUUGAAUCCUUUGCAGACGACUUAAAUACGCGACGGGGCAUUGUAAGUGGCAGAGUGGCCUUGCUGCCACGAUCCACUGAGAUCCAGCCCCACGUCGCACAGAUUCGUCCC